AGAUACGGGCCCGACUCCUACGGGAGGCAGCAGUAGGGAAUAUUGGGCAAUGGAUGCAAGUCUGACCCAGCCGUGCCGCGUGCCGGAUGAAGGCCCUCAGGGUUGUAAACGGCUUUUAUUCGGGAAGAAGAGCAGGGAUGCGUCCUUGUGUGAUGGUACCGAAUGAAUAAGCACCGGCUAACUCCGUGCCAGCAGCCGCGGUAAUACGGAGGGUGCGAGCGUUGUCCGGAUUUAUUGGGUUUAAAGGGUGCGUAGGUGGCCUGUUAAGUCAGUGGUGAAAUACAGCCGCUCAACGGUUGGGGUGCCAUGAUACUGACGGGCUUGAAUAAUUGGAGGCUGCCGGAAUGGAUGGUGUAGCGGUGAAAUGCAUAGAUAUCAUCCAGAACACCGAUUGCGAAGGCAGGUGGCUACGAUUGGUUUGACACUGAGGCACGAAAGCAUGGGGAGCAAACAGGAUUAGAUACCUGGUAGUCCAUGCUGUAAAC
rnacentral:rRNA from 1 species